rnacentral:rRNA from 1 species
ACUCAAAGGAAUUGACGGGGGCCCGCACAAGCGGUGGAGCAUGUGGUUUAAUUCGAAGCGACGCGAAGAACCUUACCAAGGCUUGACAUGGAUAUGAAAGACAUAGAGAUAUGGAAGACCCAUUUGUGGGACAUAUCACACAGGUGGUGCAUGGUUGUCGUCAGCUCGUGUCGUGAGAUGUUGGGUUAAGUCCCGCAACGAGCGCAACCCCUACGUUCAGUAGCCAACGGGUGAAGCCGGGCACACUGGAGGGACUGCCGUGGAGAACACGGAGGAAGGUGGGGAUGAUGUCAAAUCAUCAUGCCCCUUAUGUCUUGGGCUACACACGUGCUACAAUGGCGUUUACAAAGCGAAGCGAACCGGCGACGGGGAGCGAAGCGCGAAAAAACGCCCCAGUUCGGAUCGCGGGCUGCGACUCGCCCGCGUGAAGUUGGAAUCGCUAGUAAUCGCGAAUCAGCAUGUCGCGGUGAAUACGUUCCCGGGCCUUGUACACACCGCCCGU